rnacentral:rRNA from 1 species
CAGUAGCCACGGUAAUACAGAGGGUGCGAGCGUUAAUCGGAUUUACUGGGCGUAAAGCGUGCGUAGGCGGCUAAUUGAGUCGGAUGUGAAAUCCCCGAGCUUAACUUGGGAAUUGCAUUCGAUACUGGUUAGCUAGAGUGUGGGAGAGGAUGGUAGAAUUCCAGGUAUAGCGGUGAAAUGCGUAGAGAUCGGGAGGAACAUCAGUGGCGAAGGCGGCCAUCUGGGACAACACUGACGCUGAGGCACGAAAGCGUGGGGAGCAAACAGGAUUAGAUACCCCCGUAGUCCCUGUCUCUUAUAA